rnacentral:tRNA from 1 species
GGGCCCUUAGCUCAGUUGGUUAGAGCAGGCCGCUCAUAACGGUCUGGUCGCCUGUUCGAGUCAGGCAGGGCCCA